rnacentral:rRNA from 1 species
AGCGACUUAUAUUCUGUAGCAAGGUUAACCGAAUAGGGGAGCCGAAGGGAAACCGAGUCUUAACUGGGCGUUAAGUUGCAGGGUAUAGACCCGAAACCCGGUGAUCUAGCCAUGGGCAGGUUGAAGGUUGGGUAACACUAACUGGAGGACCGAACCGACUAAUGUUGAAAAAUUAGCGGAUGACUUGUGGCUGGGGGUGAAAGGCCAAUCAAACCGGGAGAUAGCUGGUUCUCCCCGAAAGCUAUUUAGGUAGCGCCUCGUGAAUUCAUCUCCGGGGGUAGAGCACUGUUUCGGCAAGGGGGUCAUCCCGACUUACCAACCCGAUGCAAACUGCGAAUACCGGAGAAUGUUAUCACGGGAGACACACGGCGGGUGCUAACGUCCGUCGUGAAGAGGGAAACAACCCAGACCGCCAGCUAAGGUCCCAAAGUCAUGGUUAAGUGGGAAACGAUGUGGGAAGGCCCAGACAGCCAGGAUGUUGGCUUAGAAGCAGCCAUCAUUUAAAGAAAGCGUAAUAGCUCACUGGUCGAGUCGGCCUGCGCGGAAGAUGUAACGGGGCUAAACCAUGCACCGAAGCUGCGGCAGCGACGCUUAUGCGUUGUUGGGUAGGGGAGCGUUCUGUAAGCCUGGAAGGUGUGCUGUGAGGCAUGCUGGAGGUAUCAGAAGUGCGAAUGCUGACAUAAGUAACGAUAAAGCGGGUGAAAAGCCCGCUCGCCGGAAGACCAAGGGUUCCUGUCCAACGUUAAUCGGGGCAGGGUGAGUCGACCCCUAAGGCGAGGCCGAAAGGCGUAGUCGAUGGGAAACAGGUUAAUAUUCCUGUACUUGGUGUUACUGCGAAGGGGGGACGGAGAAGGCUAUGUUGGCCGGGCGACGGUUGUCCCGGUUUAAGCGUGUAGGCUGGUUUUCCAGGCAAAUCCGGAAAAUCAAGGCUGAGGCGUGAUGACGAGGCACUACGGUGCUGAAGCAACAAAUGCCCUGCUUCCAGGAAAAGCCUCUAAGCAUCAGGUAACAUCAAAUCGUACCCCAAACCGACACAGGUGGUCAGGUAGAGAAUACCAAGGCGCUUGAGAGAACUCGGGUGAAGGAACUAGGCAAAAUGGUGCCGUAACUUCGGGAGAAGGCACGCUGAUAUGUAGGUGAAGUCCCUCGCGGAUGGAGCUGAAAUCAGUCGAAGAUACCAGCUGGCUGCAACUGUUUAUUAAAAACACAGCACUGUGCAAACACGAAAGUGGACGUAUACGGUGUGACGCCUGCCCGGUGCCGGAAGGUUAAUUGAUGGGGUUAGCGCAAGCGAAGCUCUUGAUCGAAGCCCCGGUAAACGGCGGCCGUAACUAUAACGGUCCUAAGGUAGCGAAAUUCCUUGUCGGGUAAGUUCCGACCUGCACGAAUGGCGUAAUGAUGGCCAGGCUGUCUCCACCCGAGACUCAGUGAAAUUGAACUCGCUGUGAAGAUGCAGUGUACCCGCGGCAAGACGGAAAGACCCCGUGAACCUUUACUAUAGCUUGACACUGAACAUUGAGCCUUGAUGUGUAGGAUAGGUGGGAGGCUUUGAAGUGUGGACGCCAGUCUGCAUGGAGCCGACCUUGAAAUACCACCCUUUAAUGUUUGAUGUUCUAACGUUGACCCGUAAUCCGGGUUGCGGACAGUGUCUGGUGGGUAGUUUGACUGGGGCGGUCUCCUCCUAAAGAGUAACGGAGGAGCACGAAGGUUGGCUAAUCCUGGUCGGACAUCAGGAGGUUAGUGCAAUGGCAUAAGCCAGCUUGACUGCGAGCGUGACGGCGCGAGCAGGUGCGAAAGCAGGUCAUAGUGAUCCGGUGGUUCUGAAUGGAAGGGCCAUCGCUCAACGGAUAAAAGGUACUCCGGGGAUAACAGGCUGAUACCGCCCAAGAGUUCAUAUCGACGGCGGUGUUUGGCACCUCGAUGUCGGCUCAUCACAUCCUGGGGCUGAAGUAGGUCCCAAGGGUAUGGCUGUUCGCCAUUUAAAGUGGUACGCGAGCUGGGUUUAGAACGUCGUGAGACAGUUCGGUCCCUAUCUGCCGUGGGCGCUGGAGAACUGAGGGGGGCUGCUCCUAGUACGAGAGGACCGGAGUGGACGCAUCACUGGUGUUCGGGUUGUCAUGCCAAUGGCACUGCCCGGUAGCUAAAUGCGGAAGAGAUAAGUGCUGAAAGCAUCUAAGCACGAAACUUGCCCCGAGAUGAGUUCUCCCUGACCCUUUAAGGGUCCUGAAGGAACGUUGAAGACGACGACGUUGAUAGGCCGGGUGUGUAAGCGCAGCGAUGCGUUGAGCUAACCGGUACUAAUGAACCGUGAGGCUUAACCUU